GGUCAUUAUUUAUGGCGGGGGGUGGCACCGAAGAGAAAAGGGUUGGGUAAACAAAAUUUUGAGUGAGAAAAAGGUUGGGUAAAUGAAAAACGAAACAACUCAAAGGUUGGGUAAUAAAAAUUUAUUGUCAUUUCCAAAGCAUGACUCACUCAAAUAUUGAAGACUGAGAACUUCAAUGUCAACAGUCAUAUUUCAAUACAAUAUGUGAAUCAAUCAGAGUCACUAUCUUUAUCAUUUUCCGUUUUGUUGGGAGACAAAUGGUGUCUCCAAAGAAAGUAAAUGUACAGACAACAUGAAACUUUAGACUGCAGAAAAGUCAGUAAAUUUCACAAGCCGAACGUUAUCAAACUCGUAUCACAGAAGUGGUAACUAGGACAUGUGUGACAACUGAAUGGUAUCCUUUUGUAACGUUUUUGGCCAGGAGUGGGUAUUUAUUUUUUAAAUGAUACUUGAGGUUGGGUAAUCAAAUUUUUUAUUUUUUAAUGGUUGGGUCAGCAAAAUUUUUGGCAC
rnacentral:lncRNA from 1 species